rnacentral:rRNA from 1 species
CGGCUCAGUAACACGUGGAUAACCUACCCUCAGAUCUGGGAUAACUCCGGGAAACUGGAGAUAAUACCGGAUAAUCCGUGAACGCUGGAAUGCCUUACGGUUGAAAGCUUUAGCGUCUGAGGAUGGGUCUGCGGCCGAUUAGGUAGUUGCUGGGGUAACGUCCCAACAAGCCGAUAAUCGGUACGGGUUGUGAGAGCAAGAGCCCGGAGAUGGAUUCUGAGACACGAAUCCAGGUCCUACGGGGCGCAGCAGGCGCGAAAACUUUACACUGCGCGAAAGCGCGAUAAGGGGACCUCGAGUGCGUGCGCAAAGCGUACGCUUUUCAGAUGCCUAAAAAGCAUCUGGAAUAAGGGCCGGGCAAGACCGGUGCCAGCCGCCGCGGUAACACCGGCGGCUCAAGUGGUGGCCGCUAUUAUUGGGCUUAAAGGGUCCGUAGCCGGACCAGUUAGUCCCUUGGGAAAUCUUACGGCUUAACCGUAAGGCUGCCAAUGGAUACUGCUGGUCUUGGGACCGGGAGAGGCAAGAGGUACCUCAGGGGUAGGAGUGAAAUCCUGUAAUCCUUGAGGGACCGCCAGUGGCGAAGGCGUCUUGCUAGAACGGGUCCGACGGUGAGGGACGAAAGCUAGGGGCACG